AGCGAACGCUGGCGGCAGGCUUAACACAUGCAAGUCGAGCGGGCACCUUCGGGUGUCAGCGGCAGACGGGUGAGUAACACGUGGGAACGUACCCUUCGGUUCGGAAUAACGCUGGGAAACUAGCGCUAAUACCGGAUACGCCCUUAUGGGGAAAGGUUUACUGCCGAAGGAUCGGCCCGCGUCUGAUUAGCUAGUUGGUGGGGUAACGGCCUACCAAGGCGACGAUCAGUAGCUGGUCUGAGAGGAUGAUCAGCCACACUGGGACUGAGACACGGCCCAGACUCCUACGGGAGGCAGCAGUGGGGAAUAUUGGACAAUGGGCGCAAGCCUGAUCCAGCCAUGCCGCGUGAGUGAUGAAGGCCUUAGGGUUGUAAAGCUCUUUUGUCCGGGACGAUAAGGACGGGACCGGAAGAAUAAGCCCCGGCGAACUUCGU
rnacentral:rRNA from 1 species